UACGUAGGGGGCAAGCGUUGUCCGGAAUCAUUGGGCGUAAAGAGCGCGUAGGCGGUCCGGUAAGUCCGCUGUGAAAGUCAAGGGCUCAACCCUUGAAUGCCGGUGGAUACUGUCGGGCUAGAGUCCGGAAGAGGCGAGUGGAAUUCCUGGUGUAGCGGUGAAAUGCGCAGAUAUCAGGAGGAACACCAACUAGGCGAAGGCAGCUCGCUGGGACGGUACUGACGCUGAGGCGCGAACACGUGGGGAGCAAACAGGAUUAGAACUAC
rnacentral:rRNA from 1 species